rnacentral:rRNA from 1 species
UACGAAGGUCCCAAGCGUUAUCCGGAUUUAUUGGGUUUAAAGGGUGCGUAGGCGGCUUAUUAAGUCAGUGGUGAAAGCUCCAUGCUUAACAUGGAAAUUGCCAUUGAUACUGAUGAGCUUGAGUAUUAUUUUGAAAGUGGGGCGGAAAUGUGUCGUGUAGCGGUGAAAAUGCUUAGAUAUGACACAGAAACACCGAUUGCGUAGGCAGCUCACUAAAACUAUAACUGACGCUGAGGCACAAAAGCAUGGGGGAUCAAAACAGG